UACGGGAGGCAGCAGUGGGGAAUAUUGCACAAUGGGCGCAAGCCUGAUGCAGCCAUGCCGCGUGUAUGAAAAAGGCCUUCGGGUUGUAAAGUACUUUCAGUCGUGAGGAAGGUGUUAAGGUUAAUAACCUUAGCAAUUGACGUUAGCGACAGAAGAAGCACCGGCUAACUCCGUGCCAGCAGCCGCGGUAAUACGGAGGGUGCGAGCGUUAAUCGGAAUUACUGGGCGUAAAGGGCACGCAGGCGGUUAAUUAAGUUGGAUGUGAAAUCCCCGGGCUUAACCUGGGAAUGGCAUUCAAGACUGGUUAGCUAGAGUCUUGUAGAGGGGGUAGAAUUCCAUGUGUAGCGGUGAAAUGCGUAGAGAUGUGGAGGAAUACCGGUGGCGAAGGCGGCCCCUCGGACGAAGAACUGACGCUCAUGUGCGAAAGCGUGGGGAGGCAAACAGGGAUUAGAU
rnacentral:rRNA from 1 species